UCAACCAAUUCAAGUAUGUUUUAUUGUCUCCAAAACAUAUUCUAUAGGUUGGUACAAAAAUAAAUAAAUUUUCUUUUGCAACCCAGAACUCAAUGUCCCCUAUGAAUUUUUGUACAGGUAAGAAGAAAUAUG